rnacentral:tRNA from 1 species
UCCGGUAUGGUGUAGUGGCUAACAUCGCUCGCUCUCAUGACUUUCAAGUCAGAAGUCCCGAGCAGCCCAGGGUUCGAUUCCCUGUACCGGAG